rnacentral:rRNA from 1 species
CAGUCGCCACGGUAAUACGUAGGGUGCGAGCGUUAAUCGGAAUUACUGGGCGUAAAGCGUGCGCAGGCGGUUUUGUAAGACAGGCGUGAAAUCCCCGGGCUCAACCUGGGAAUGGCGCCUGUGACUGCAAAGCUAGAGUGCGGCAGAGGGGGAUGGAAUUCCGCGUGUAGCAGUGAAGUGCGUAGAUAUGCGGAGGAACACCGAUGGCGAAGGCAAUCCCCUGGGCCUGCACUGACGCUCAUGCACGAAAGCGUGGGGAGCAAACAGGAUUAGAUACCCCGGUAGUCCCUGUCUCUUAUAC